rnacentral:rRNA from 1 species
UAAUACGGAGGGUGCAAGCGUUAAUCGGAAUUACUGGGCGUAAAGCGCACGCAGGCGGUUUGUUAAGUCAGAUGUGAAAUCCCCGGGCUCAACCUGGGAACUGCAUUUGAAACUGGCAAGCUAGAGUCUCGUAGAGGGGGGUAGAAUUCCAGGUGUAGCGGUGAAAUGCGUAGAGAUCUGGAGGAAUACCGGUGGCGAAGGCGGCCCCCUGGACGAAGACUGACGCUCAGGUGCGAAAGCGUGGGGAGCAAACAGGAUUAGAUACCCUGGUAGUCCACGCUGUAAACGAUGUCGACUUUGGAGGUUGUGCCCUUGAGGCGUGGCUUCCGGAGCUAACGCGUUAAAUCGACCGCCUGGGGAGUACGGCCGCAAGGUUA